GAUGAACGCUAGCGGCAGGCCUAACACAUGCAAGUCGAGGGGUAACUAGAGUGAUAGCAAUAUUACUUUGGCUAGACCGGCGCACGGGUGCGUAACACGUAUGCAACCUACCUUAUACUGGGGAAUAACUUCGAGAAAUCGGCGCUAAUACCCCAUAACAUUGCGAAGAGGCAUCUCUCUGCAAUUAAGGCUCCGGCGGUAUAAGAUGGGCAUGCGUCCAAUUAGCUAGUUGGUGAGGUAACGGCUCACCAAGGCUACGAUUGGUAGGGGUUCUGAGAGGAUGAUCCCCCACACUGGUACUGAGACACGGACCAGACUCCUACGGGAGGCAGCAGUGAGGAAUAUUGCGCAAUGGACGAAAGUCUGACGCAGCCAUGCCGCGUGCAGGAUGACGGCCCUAUGGGUUGUAAACUGCUUUUGUACGGGAAUAAACCCUUCUACGUGUAGGAGGCUGAAGGUACCGUAAGAAUAAGCACCGGCUAACUCCGUGCCAGCAGCCGCAGUAA
rnacentral:rRNA from 1 species